AUUGAACGCUGGCGGCAGGCCUAACACAUGCAAGUCGAGCGGAUGAAGGGAGCUUGCUCCUGGAUUCAGCGUCGGACGGGUGAGUAAUGCCUAGGAAUCUGCCUGGUAGUGGGGGAUAACGUCCGGAAACGGGCGCUAAUACCGCAUACGUCCUGAGGGAGAAAGUGGGGGAUCUUCGGACCUCUCGCUAUCAGAUGAGCCUAGGUCGGAUUAGCUAGUUGGUGGGGUAAAGGCCUACCAAGGCGACGAUCCGUAACUGGUCUGAGAGGAUGAUCAGUCACACUGGAACUGAGACACGGUCCAGACUCCUACGGGAGGCAGCAGUGGGGAAUAUUGGACAAUGGGCGAAAGCCUGAUCCAGCCAUGCCGCGUGUGUGAAGAAGGUCUUCGGAUUGUAAAGCACUUUAAGUUGGGAGGAAGGGCGGUAAGUUAAUACCUUGCUGUUUUGACGUUACCAACAGAAUAAGCACCGGCUAACUUCGUG
rnacentral:rRNA from 1 species